CUCGGAAUUCUGUAGUGAUACAGCAAGAGGCUGAGAAGCUGUAUGUGGAGCAAAAGGGCUGAGAUUCCUGUUGUGAACGGAGUGAAGUGCUGUUUGCCAAACUGACAGGGUCAGCUUAUGGCUGACCGGUGAGAAUCGUGUCAUCUACUCGCUUUGCAAUCGAAGACCAUUGUGAAGAUACUGUAGGAUUUGUUGUCUUCAUUGGGUAAACCCGGCACCUCCUGUCUGGCAGCGUGUAGCCUUUUGGCUCAAACAUCGAUCCCAAACCCCAAAGAAAUAGGGAGGCUGCAGCGUGAGUCCUUCGUGCAGCCCCCGCACUCCUUAAAUCAGAGAUCACUGACGAUACUGCAGUACCCCAUUUCUGCUGCGGCACGACGUGGGAUUUCUGAAGUCACGGCAGGUUUGGAGAAACGACAAAUCAUCUCCAGAAUGCGCUCCCUGAACAACCUGCCCCACAUGCAUGGGGCACAAGCCCCAUUUUGGGGGCAAUGACCCCCACUUGUGGGGCGCUACCCCCGCCCCCACUGUCACAGCUGUGCCCCGAGGACACCAUCACCCCACUGCACAUGGCCAUCAACUUCUCCCUGGACUUCACGCACCCCACGGUGACAUUGGCGUGGAGCGAAGUGGAGCAGGGGACAUGGGGGGGCUUGAGGGGACAUGGGGACAUGAGGGGACGUGUGGGGACACAGGGACAUGGGGGGACACGGGGACGUGGGGUUGAAGUGUGGGGUCAGAACUACAGACUACAGAGACAAGGUGACAUGCGGAGGUGAUGCAGGCAGGUGGGUUCUAGGGCCUGGCGCAUGCGUAGUGGGGUCUCAAGAGCUGUAAACUUAGGUGGAGAACUGCAGCUUCCACUAAUUUUUGUGGAAACAACAUAAUGGCCCACACGAACCUCAGAACUGCAGCAUGGCACAGUGUCUGCCUGUUUAGACCUGCCAGUGCCUGCAAUGGGGCCUUGCUAGGGCCUGCAAUAGGGCCUGCAAUGGGGCCUUGCUAGGGCCUGCAAUGGGGCCUUGCUAGGGCCUGCAAUGGGGCCUGCAAUGGGGCCUUGCUAGGGCCUGCAAUGGGGCCUUGCUCGGGCCUGCAAUGGGGCCUGCAAUGGGGCCUUGCUAGGGCCUGCAAUGGGGCCUUGCUGGGGCCCACAAUGGGGCCUGCAAUGGGGCCUUGCUAGGGCCUGCAAUAGGGCCUGCAAUGGGGCCUUGCUAGGGCCUGCAAUAAGGCCUGCAAUGGGGCCUUGCUAGGGCCUGCACAUGCGCCAGCUCCGAGACCCCACUUUGCGUGGGCCUGGGUAAUGGAGGGACUGGGAAGGAUUGGCUGUGACUGGGGGGACACUGGGAAAGUCUGGGAGGGGUAUUGGGGACACUGGGAGGAACUGGGGGGGACUGGGAGAGGUAACAGAGACACUGGGAGGGGUAAUGGGGGCACUGGGAUGGACUGGGAUGGCACUGGGGGGACUGGAAUGGGAUUGGGGGACGUGGGGGGGGACUGGGGGGCACUGCAAAGGGACUGGGAUGGGAAUGGAAGGGGAUUGGGGGGGCACUGGGAUGGGAAUGGGGGGUGCUGGGAAGGACUGCGGGGCACUGGAAGGGAAUUGGGGGGGGGGGGGACUGGGAGGGAUCUGGGGAACACUGGGAGGGAAUUGGGGGGGGCUGUGGGGGCACUGGGAGAGACUGGGAAGGACUGGGAGGGUAAGUGGGUGUAGUGGGGGGGCACUGGAAGGGAAUGGAGGGGGCUGGGAGAGAAAUGGGGGGCUGUGGGGACACUGGGAGGGGUUGGGGGUCACUGAGAGGAGGAAUGGAGGGCACUGGGAGGGACCUGGGAGGGAAAUGGAAGGCUGGGGGGGCACUGGGAGAGAAAUGAGGGGGGGGCUGUGGGGCACUGGAAGUGACUGGGAGGGUAAAUGGGGGCCUGGGGGACCACUGGGGGGACCCUACAGCAUUUCACUUCCCCCCACCCCCCCCCGAAAAUUCAUCCUUGCCCCCCCACACCUUGGGGGGCACACACACUCCACCCCCCCCCUAAAAAAUAUGGGGGGGGGGGUGUCUUUUAAAGGGCUAUCCCCCCCCUGCGAGACCACUAAAUCUGGGGGGGGGGGGGGGGGGGGGGGGCAUCUGUCUGUCCCGUUCUGCUGUGGGGGGCACCCCCAGAAUGGUGCCCCAUGCUUCCCCAAUUAACCCCCCCUUCCCCCCCUCCCCCCCCCCCACUGUACAAUAAGAGCUCUUUACUCUUCUAUGGAUGUCUCCAUAUAUUUUUUGGGGGGGAGGGACCCUCAAUUUGAGGGUCCCCAAAUGGAGGGGGGAGGGGGGGGAUAUAGAGGGGGGGGUGGUCACCGGGGGGGGCGGCGCCUCCACCAGCGCUCCAAAGCUUCACGCCAACCCCCCCCUCCCACCCCUGGGACCCCCAACCCCAUCCAACGGCCUCGAGGGGUCCCCCCCACACUUGUGGGGCGUGGAAGGACCUGAGGGGGGGGAAGAUAGGGGGGAGGGGGGUCACUGUGUGUCACCAGUGCGGCCCCACUGAACCCAUAAAGACCCCAGUGUGACCCCAACGCCCCAUAGAGACCCCAUUGACCCCACAGAGCCACAGAGACCCCAUAAUGCCCCAGAGACACCAUUGACCCCAUAGAGACCCCCCAAUGCCCCAUAAAGACCCCAAUGAGACCCCAGUGUGUCCCCAGUGUCCCCAUACAGACCCCAUUGUCCCCAGUGACUUCAGUGUGAUCUCAAUGUGCCCAUAGAGACCCCAUGGAGACCCCAAUGGCCCAUAAAGACCCCACUGACCCCAUAAAGACCCCAGUGUCCCACAGAGACCCCAAUGUGACCCCAGUGUCACCACUGAACCCCAUACAGACCCCAUUGUCUCCUGCGUCACCCAGUGUGACCUCACUGUCCCCAGGGAGCCCUAUAGAAACCCCAUUGUCCCCACAGACCCCAAUGUCCCCAUAGAGACCUCAGUGUGACCCCACUGUCUCCAAUGUGACCUCCAUGUCCCCAUACAGACCCCGCUGUUUUCAGAGUGACCUCAGUUUGAUCUCAGUGUCCCCAUAGAGACCCCACUGACACCCACAGAGACCCCAGCGUGACCUCAAUUUCCCCAUAGAGACCCGCUCUGCCCCCCACCCCAUAGCCCCCCCCAUACCAACAGCUGGAACUCAUCACUCAUCCUUCGCAGCUCCCGGCCAUAUUUCCGUGCUGCCCAUAGGACGGGGGGGGCAGAGCGGGAACGGCCUCGAAAUGUGGGGGGGGGGUCCCCACCUCCUGACCCCCCCCCUCCACCUUCUGCAAUGGAGGGGAUUGGGGGGGAAGAGUGAGGGAUGCUGGACCCCAAAACUGGGGGAGGGCUCCUAAAGGGAGAGGUUUAAUAGGGGAUUUAUUGGGGGGGGGGGAUAAUAGGAGUUUUUUGGGGGGGUGUAUUGGGGGGGUUAAUUUGGGGUCCCUGAAAUGUUGGGGGAGGAGAAAGGGGUGGUCAGCACUGCUGGACCCCAAAACUGGGGGGACCCCAGAAUUGGAGGGGGGGGCAAUCUAAAGGGUGAGGCUCAAUGGAAGAAUUAAUUGGGGGGGGGGUCUUAAUUGGGGCGGUCACAAUGGGGGGGGACCCAAUGAGGAGUCCUAAGUAGGGGCUUCAAAAGAAGAAGGGUUUUAAGGACAGGGUCCAAACUGGGGGGGGUCCUAAUAGGGGGGAGUCCCAAUGAGGGGUCCCAAGUAGGGCUUCAAAAGGUGGGGGGGGAAGGGGGGGGACACGUCCUAAGGACAGGGUCCGAAUUGGGGGGGGGUCCCAAUGGAAGGGGUCCUAAGGACAGGGAUCCAAUGUGUGUGGGGGGGUCCUUAUAGGGGGGUCCCAUUGGAGGGUCCUAUGUGGGGGCUCCAAAACAGGGGGGGUCCUAAGGACAGGGUUCCAACGUGGGGGGUGGGGGGGAGGGGUGUCCUAAUAGGGGGGUUCCAAUGGGGGGGUUUCUAUGAACAGAAUACCACUGGGGGGGGGCGAGGGGGGGGGUGUCACCUGUGGGAGUGGCAGCGGGGCUGGAACCAGAGCUGCCCCCCCAGGGGGAUUCGGGGGGGUCCCGGUGGCAGGGGCCAGGCAGGGGUGGGGGCUGCGGCUCCUCCGGGAACUCCUCAAUGCUAAACAUGGUCAGGGCAUGGUGGCCUGGAGGGAAGGGGGGGAGAGACCCCCAUGUUACCCCAAAAUCAGCCUCCCCCACCCCCAAAAUCCCACUCAGUGAGGCCGAAAAUGCCCCCCCCCCCCCCCCCCCAAUGAACGCCCGCCCCAAAAGAAUCCCUGAAGCACCUCCAGAAAACCCCAAAAUGUCUCUAAAUGAGGGCAAAAUGAACCUCAAAAUGACUCCCAAAGCACACAGUGACCCCCAAAGCGACCCACCCUCACCCCAACCCCCCCUCGCCCCAAACAACCCCCUAAGACGCCCAAAAUGAUCUAAAAAUCUCCCAAAAUGACCCGAAAAUCCCCGUCACCCCAAAAAUUCCCCCAAAAUCCCCCCAUAAGACACUCUG
rnacentral:lncRNA from 1 species